GCUGCAACUUGAGCUGGUCACCUUGAACUUUUGCGAGCUAUCAGAUAGCGAGUGGGGACCAACUCCGACUGGUGAAUCCCCUGAAAUAAUGUAGCCUCACUCUCCUCGAAAUGGAGAGGGGAACGUAAAGUCUGCGAAGUAGGAGGACAUCUGGGAUGUCUGGGAGUGGAACACUUCAUCCCCGGAACAGAUGCAGCGGAGGCGGAAGAAUCAAUUGGCAGCAGAUGGAGAAGCUAACCAACAUGUGGAGUCACGGUGAACUAUUAAGUUCUUCCUAGUUGGUAGAAUAUCAGAAAAUUCAGGCUUCAAAAUGAGCAGCUUUACUAUUUGAUGAACAUGAAAUAAGUGGUGCCUCAGUACUUACCCAGGUAAGAAAUCAAGAUGCCGUGCAUGCUGGAAAUCUGAAAUAAGAACCUUGGGAACACCUGGAAAAACUCAGCUCACGUAUCAUCUAUGGAGGAAUGAUCUUUUACCUUGUCAUGAGUUAUGAGUCCCAUGACUUUUGUGGAUGUUCUUAAGAAGCAAGGUUAAAGCAUGAACUUGUAUUUAGUUCUGACGCUGGGAUUCAAGGCGUGUUGAUAAAAUCUCAGCCAAUCUAUUUCCUGCUCCAGACAUGUUACCUGAGUAUCUUAAGUGAUUUAUUUAUUAAUAUACGUAUUUUCUGUUUCUGUAAAGGCAAGCUUGGAUCUUGUUUUUCCUGAUGUCUGCACAUGAAAUUACUUAUUUAUUUCACUGAAGAGCUCUUAGGAGUGAGGGCAUAGCUGAAUUUAUGUUAUCUUUCAGUUGCUGAUGAAAUUUGUUUGUGCUGUUGCUUUGUCUGACACGGCUGUCUGGUUAAGGACGUGUUCCGGUGUGGUGACAGGAGACACAGUAAGAUGUAUUAACUGAAGGCAGUAGUUGAGUUUACUUUUUUGAGUUUGAGAAACCCAAAGGAACAGAUUUCCCUCAGGAUCUGAUGAUUUUUAAAAUUUAUGUUUGUUUCUUGCAUUAAAAUGUUAACUGGCUGUUGUUAACUAGGGCUUCAACACUAGGUUGCUACUGGGGAGCAGAAAACGCGAAGGUAUACUCUGAGGCCUGUGGAAUGAAGUUGGUAUGGGAAGAUCUGAAAGGGUUGGGUGCAAAGGAGAUGGGAAGCCUUGAGGGUAAGCAGAUCAGAAAGGUCUGGGGGAAGGGUUACAUAGAGUUUGAAACAGUCAUGGGAGACUUGAGAAUGGGUCAUGGUGGAGAUUGAAAGCAUGUAAGGUUCAUCGAAAGGGAGGGGUUAGUUGGAGAACACAAUGGUUAGAUUUGGGGAUUGAAAGGCCUCCAGGUGCUAAGGGGGAAUUAGAGGCCUUUGGCAGGAGAUCUGAAAUGCCUCUGAAGGUGAGAUUAAAAGGGUUGAGGUGAUGGGUCAAGUAAAGCAUGUGAACUAGUCCCAUUUAGAAAGCCAUUUACCUUUUGGAAAAAUGGUCCUCAGUUCCCAAAAUAUUAAGAGUGUUGCUCUUCACUGUUUGAGUUCUGAUGCAGUAAUGCGAUGCUGAAUAGUCGUCAGAAACUAUCAGUCUUCAACAUAGCAAAGUUGCAAGACUCCAUUUUUGUCCAGUCACAUACCCAACAUUUGAAGGGUAGUGUAUGUAAGUCUUAAUAAGAUAUUUUCAGUGCUUUAGCAAUGCACUGGAUUUCUCCUUGGCAGAGAUUCAAGACACCAUGAAGGUUAGUUUAACUAACAUGAAGGUUGGUUUACAAUCCUCUCAUGUUAUUAUAUCAACUGCUUGAGGCACUGCAAUAUAAUCUGUGCAGUAUUCUUGUUUUGCUGACACACAGGUUGGAACAGAUUCAGCUGUGGCUGAUUUGGCUGACAUUUGAGACAGCCCGCUGCGUGCACUCCAAGAAGGAUUAACAGACAUUCAGGAUGUCAUCUACAGUAGCCUGACCCAAGUAGAUGACUGACUGCUUUGCAAAAUCCAUUUACACUCAUCUUGCACCGGAGGUGAAUCCUGGAGCAGCAGCAGGCACAGACAGCGCGUCCCGGAGCAGUGGGUGGGGAAACAGCCCUGGAACAGCACAAGGAAAGCAAGUCCCAGGUGGAGACCAGUGCUGGGAACGCAGUCCUGGAACUUACCUUGGAGCAGUUGAAUGCUGGUAUGGAGCGGACUGGAGGUUUGGAGCAGAGUGGGGACAGCUUCUGGACUGGGGUCUGACACGGGCAGUCAGACCACAUGCGGCGGCCCUGUGCUGAGCUGCUACAAUGUAAUGUUUAUAUGAUUUUUUACCAGUUUGUAAUGUCAAUCCUUCAACAAUGUCUUAUUUCUAACUUAUGUUGUAAACUUCAUGAAGUAAUGCAACUACUUUUUAUUGCUCAUUUGUAUCCAAGACUUGUACCUAGAUACUUGUACCCAAGCUGGCGCCAUAAGAGGCAGACAUUGCAAAAGCUUUUCACUAUACUUUUACAAUGGAGUACACGUGCCAAUAAAGAAUAAAAGGUAUUCUAUUCAUGUGCUUUGGCAGACACCCUUGAGACAUAGUUACUUCCUUAAUAUCAUUCACAACAGUUUGUUCUAGGGAAUAGCAUAUAUAGGUUUAUGAUAUGAAAAUGGUGCAUUUUUAAAAUUAAAUAUUUAUAACCUCAACUAAAUGAGAU